rnacentral:misc_RNA from 1 species
GUCCAUGGUCGUCACACAUCAUCUCUAUAAGCAUGUGUCCAGGGUAUUCCAAAUCUUUGACAAUUAUUGGGCAUAUCUGGUCCACGCUUCCCAAUUCUAGAGCCCAAGAGGUUCCUUGUUGAUUGCUAGAUUUUAUUGGAGGUGACUGAAGGUUCUUGUCAGGGGCUACCUCUGUCUGAGCCUGGAACCUUAAUUUAUCAGCCUGAUCAGUAACACUUCGCAGAAACAGCAUGUGCUUUAUGGUCUUAUCUAGUAAACCAUCAAUGCUACAUUUGGCACCACUAGGGACAAGUUGCCGCAAUUCCUUAAGCCGGUCCUGAAUUAACUGCCUAUCUCGUGGUCUGGGCUUAUGACUAUCACCAGACCGUCUCCUUUUCUUGUUAGUAUUAGAUAUUUUUGACUCCUUGUGACAAUCCAAAGAGCUGAAGACUUUUGUCUGAUGAUGUCCCUCAUCAAAUGUACUGACAACAUAAUCAAAUGAAGAAGCAGAAUGUGGACAGUUAGUCGAAGCAUAUUUGUCUACCCCAGCAGAAGCCGAUGUAAGAGUGCUU